rnacentral:lncRNA from 1 species
CUUGGCUCAUGCCAAAAUCAUUCUCGAGAAUACCUUGGCCGAGGCAUUUAACCGAGUCCGCCAAGGUUGUUAAAAAUUUAUGUACGCAUAAUUCAUGUUUUUAUUUUGAAAACACAGCUGUUCCUUGGCGUUAGUGGAGUUCAUCAUCACGAGGUGGUUCGGCGUGACGUGAACUCUAACCAUACCUCAGGAGAUACCCUACACGCCUCUUAGACUGAGGUACAUAUAUAAUCGGAUUUCGUGCCCCUCUAAUAGGCUGGUCCAUAGAACCCGCCGACUGUAACAAGUUAAACCCACCAUACAAUAAAAUUUUGACAACAUGACAUGACUAAUAUUAUACUACCCAGUCUGUAAAUGUAAAACAGAAUAAUUUAUACAGUUCACAAGCCGCAAUGCCAGCUAGUCAUGCCAACACAUUAUCAUAAGCCAUCAAUUAGAACCAUAAUUUACAACACAUCAAGUGGUCUGCAGUUACUCUAUUUUGAAAGCCAUCAUUCAAUUUCAAUACAAUUUAUAAAAUCUUUUCAUUUAAACACAUUUUGUUUGUAAAACCUAAAAAUUAACCAUUUAAACUCAUUUUCCAUAAAAUUCAUAAAAUCAAAUAAAAAGACCACUUUAGAUAAUUAAAAUGAUGAUAAGGUUACUCACUAUUUCGGGCGUCGAAUUUCUAGAGUACUCUGACUAUUGAUCCUCGGGUACAAUUUCUUUGCCCUUAGAGGAGGAUUCACCACCUAGACAUGAUGCAAAAUCAAGCAAUUUACCACAUUGGUGCUAAACCGUUAUAAAACUAUAUGGAUGCAUGAAAUGGAAAGCAAAUUGUUUGGAUUAUCGUCCAAACACGAUGUUCGCCUAAUUCGACCUAUCACUUAAUUAAUUGGCCAAUUCAACUCCAAUUAACUCCAUUUUUCUUCCAAUUCUCCAAACCAUCAAUCACAACUUCAAUAGCAUAAAAUUUAGCAACAUCACCUUCACAUUUUCCCUUGGGAAUUUCGGCCAUGAUGGGUGCAUCAAUACUAGAAUUUUUCCUACUUGAUUUUCUCACCAAAAUUCAUCAUUUCCUAAGCAAAUUACUUGAAAUAACAAUCAAAAUAAUUAUCAAUAUUCCACAUGGAGAAUUCGGCCAAUGAUGGGUAAUGGGAGAAAAUGAAUUUUUCUUAUUGGUUUUUCAUGCUACACAUCAUUAACUAACUAAAAACAAUAACAUAUCUUAAAAUCUAACCAAAUCAAGCAUCAAAACUCCUUCCCCCAUGUCCGGCCAGCAAGGGAUUCAUCAUGUUUUUAUAAGAUUCAACCAUGGAAAAUCAAAAAGAAUGCAUGGGAAAGGUAGAUCUCAAGCUUUAUUGAAAAAGUCUUACCUUUUUCACUUGUUUCCUUGAAUUUUUCACACUUUCCCUUUGAAUUUUUCCACCUAGGGUUCUUGUUCUUUCUUUUCUUCCUUUGUUC